rnacentral:rRNA from 1 species
CAGUCGCCGCGGGAAUACGAAGGGGGCUAGCGUUGCUCGGAAUGACUGGGCGUAAAGGGCGCGUAGGCGGCUGUUACAGUCAGACGUGAAAUUCCUGGGCUCAACCUGGGGGCUGCGUUUGAUACGUGAUGGCUUGAGUUCGGAAGAGGGUCGUGGAAUUCCCAGUGUAGAGGUGAAAUUCGUAGAUAUUGGGAAGAACACCGGUGGCGAAGGCGGCGACCUGGUCCGAUACUGACGCUGAGGCGCGAAAGCGUGGGGAGCAAACAGGAUUAGAUACCCGCGUAGUCCCUGUCUCUUAUAC